GAGGGAUAGAAUCUCAAGCAGGCUCUGUGCUGUCAGCACAGAGCCCAACACUGGGGCUCAAUGAACCGUGAAAAUCAUGAACUGUGAAAUCAUGAAAUCAUGGCCUGAAAUCAAGAGUUGCAUGUUCAACUGCCUGAGUCAACCAGCUGUUUCUGAGAAUUCUCCCAGCAAGACCCUCCCAUGAAAUGAUGGCCACAAUGAGUGAUGGGCCCACAGGAAACCAUUUUGCAACCUCUUGGAUAUUGCCUUUGUAGGCUAAUAUCCUUUGAAGAUCAUUGCUGCAAUCAUUUUGGAAGCAAUAAUCUCUAAGGACAGGAGGAGAGAGAAGGUGCUGUCUCUAAAAUGGAACAUGCCUUCCUGAGGGAGAGAGCACAGUCCACUGGGGUGAGGAAAAUAAGUAUUGGAAAUUUUAUUUCUAUUUGUUUUUUCAUCUAAUCCCUCAAAUUUAUGUUUUUGUGUAUAUUUCAUAAUGUCAGAAUAAAGUGUAUGUGAAAAAUGA